rnacentral:piRNA from 1 species
UGACUUCUCAAUAUUUGCUACCAUGAUAUGC